GCUAGGGAGGCGGAGACAGGCCGGACCGGCCCCGGGACGCAGCGGGCGGAGGGGAAGGGCCGGGCCGGCCGCGCGGCGCAGUUGGGGGAGGGGACGAACCGGGCCGGCCCAGGGACGCACCCGGGGAAGGGGAGACCCCGAAGCCGGUGAAGCCCACACCGACACCACCGGGCCGCAGGGUUCUUAGGCGGAACACGAGCCGCCGCUCCCGCAACCCUCAGGCGGCACCACUGUGGCACUGCAGGAGGCCCACGACGGACACGCCACCCAAAGAAUGAAUGUAGUAAUGUGAUAUCCUGAAAUGACAACCCAGUAGCUGGCUAAGGAAGAAUAGGUGAAUAAUCUAGUACCCUGUUCAAUGUCCCGCUGGAUGUCAGUUGGGAAUCUGAAUUACAAUCUCAGAAUCAUCCAUCAUCAACAACCUGCAGCUAAUCAUUGAGCAGAAACUUAACUGGGCCAUUGCCAUACAGAUACUGAGGCAACUACAGCAAGAUGAGGCUGGAUUUCUUGUACUGAGUAAUUCACCUCCUGCCUUCACAAUGAUUGCUACAAUCUACAAGGCACAAACAAAGAAUGUGGUGGAAUACUCCGGAUGAGUGCAGAUCCGACAUCACUCAAGGAGCUCCACACAUUCCCAGAGCCAAAAAAGAAAGAGACAACAAGAACUGCAGAAGCUGGAGUCAGAGAUAAUACAGUAUGGAGCUGGAGGAACACAGUAGUCCAGGCAGCAGAGGAGGAGGAAAGUUGAUAUCUCAGGUGACCUCCUCCCUGCUGAUGGUGUGCUUAUUCACGGUAAUGACCUGAAGAUCGAUGAAAGCUCCCUGACUGAGGAGUCAGAUCAUGUGAAGAAAGGCCCAGAGAGAGAUCCACUACUCUCAUCUGCAUAAAGGAUGAAAAGUGAAACAUUUUGUAACCCAGAAAAAAUAACAGACCAAGAAACAUUCCAGAAAAUUUCUCACUUCUUUGCCAACGUAGUAACACAAUGCACUGUGGAAUUUCUACAUUUUGAAGAUAAGUAAUUGAUUCAGGUUGAAAGAAAAGGAUGAUGGGAAGAAAAGGAUAAAUGCGGACACUAAUAUGAAAAUUCACACUCUUUGCCACAGCGUAAAAUUACCUUCGUGACUAGUAUGGAAUUCAUGUUGAAGAUUUCAAAGUCGGUUAUUCGGAAAAAAAACUGUUUGAAAAUCCUUAUGCAGGAAUGAAUUACCACUUGGAGAUUAUUAUCAUAUGGAUACAUUUUUUGUAAAUGUUUAAGAUGAGGCAAUCAAUUGUACAUGCAAUUGGCUUCACCUUAGAGCCAAUGUAUUCCAAUGGAUGUUUUAGUUUCACUUUUAUGCAAACAAUGUAUUUCAGGCCUUGAAGAAAUGUUCAUAAUUAAUUCUAAUAUUCAAUUAAAAGAUUCAUUUCCCUGUGGCAAGGAGAACUGAAGCGAAGCCAAUAAUUAAUACUGAGAGGCAAAUUUCAAAUAAAUUGUAUGCUUUACUUCUCUUUCUAGAAUAUGUAGUGAAAAUUAUACAGGAGUCAUAUAAGCUAUUAAAAAUUCUUCAAGGAGAUCCAUAUAAUAAUCACUGAUAAGGGGAUGUUGCUUUUAUUGCAAGAGAUCUAAUUGCUGAUUUAAAUGACUCACCACACAAAAUUCAUCUUCCCACCUAUUCAUUGUACCCACCCCUCCUAAUAACAUGCUCAAACUCCAUCCAUGACUUUCAGCAACAAUCCGUGCUCUACUAUUUAAAAAUCUCUAACAUGAAUGGGAGCAUUUUGCACAGGGUACCAAUGCAACAGUUAGACUUCAAUGCAAGGGAAUGUUGCAACAUGUGCAAAUCCUACCUGCACCCAUUUGCUUUUGCUCUGCAAUUGGUUGUACUUUGCACAUGACAGUGUUCACAACCAUUUCUUGCUUUUGUUUGGUGAGGCAUCAGAUCUGAUGCAAAAAUAUUUAAAUGUUCAUCUGGUACCAUUUGUCGAAUUGUUCUUUUUUUGUCAGUACCCAUUCAGAAUAGGAACAAAACAACAUUGAUGAGCAACGGACCUCUUAAAAUCAACAACAACAACAGUCUGUUUGCCUUUGUUGGAACAUUUUGUUGCUUUUAGUCAUUUCUCCCCUUCUUUUUCAUCUUGUAUAAUUUGGAAAAAAGCUGGGUCCAGUUUUAUAACAAACAUGAAGCAAAGUUUUUGAAAGAGGGUUUGAUUGUUAAG